AUUAACAUCCUGGAAACCAACACAUUGAAUUUCCAGUAUUGAACAUAGUGACCAAAGUAAUUUUCUUUUUAUAUGUAAAUCAAGUCAUAAGAACCAGUGGUUAUAAUGCUUUCCUGGGGGCCAUCCUUUGCUGUUACACCCUUAACUUCCAUCACAGGAAACAUGACAGCUGCCCUACAGGCAGCUCUGAAGAACCCCCCUAUCAACACCAAGAGUCAGGCAGUGAAGGUGAGUCACAGACUACAACACAGUGAUCUCUGCUGAUAUCUUAUUCUUAGUAAAAUCCUCUGCAGUUGCAAAAAAAAAUCAAUAUUUUAACUGUUUGCUAUCUUUGACAUAGAAGAGUUUAUAAUGUAGUUUGAUAGGUAAAAAUUUCACGUGAAAAAAUAGCCCUAUAAUGUAGUUAUGAUAAUGCUGCAUGGUAAGAUACAGUAAGUUCAAACGAUAGUGAAAUCAUUUGUGUGUGUUUUUAGAGGAGACCACUCAGGCUGAAUUUGAGCAAAGGUUUGAAAAAUAAGUUAAACCUUUACAAAAAUAAACAGAUUGUAAUUACUUUUUAAAGAUUUUUUUAAACCAUACAAAUACUAAAUACUUAUUAUAGAAAUCUCAGACAUAUGAGAAGGUUAAAAAGAUAGUGGUUUGUGGUCCCAGCACCCAGAGAUAACAGUUACUACUUUGGGGCCUUGCUGUAUUGUUACAGAGUUCCCUUUUGUUUUUUUAAGAAUGAAAUUUUAUAACGUGCUUUUUCAGCUAUAUGCAAUGUACAUGAGCUUUCCUUCGCAAUAAGUUUAUAGCAUUUUUAACACUUGUAUAUGGAUAAGCUGCAGUGUAUACAUAACUAAUCUUUUGUUAUAUAUUUAGACUGACUUUUUUUUUCCUACUGUAAACCACUGAAAUCAAUAUUUUUUGGUAAAUUUUUAAUUGUUCUCUUUGAGUAAAUUGCUAGCAGUGAAUUACUGGAUCAAAGAAUGCACUUUUUUUUAAGGCUUUUGGUAUGCAGUAUUGCCAAAUUGCCCUUCAGAACAGUUGUGCAACUUACAUUCUCUGCAGUCUUUUACUAAUUCUUAACCUAUUUACGUAUUUAUUUAAAAUGAUGCCCAUAGCAUCAACCCCGUUGUCCAUAGCUAUUCAUACAUCCUAGGAGCUUCAAGAAUCUCAAUUGAAUAGUAGUAAGUAAUAACUUAGGUAAAUGCAUAAUAAUUAUCUAGGUAACGUAAUUUUUUAUUGGGGAAAAUUUCUUUGGUUUUUACAAGUUGUAAAGAUUGUCGUUGAAAUUUCAUUUUUACCCUGGAUGCAAAGAUAUUUUUCUAAAUCUGGUAAUUGCAGUCUUUAAACCAAAGAUAACAGUAGGUGGUAGAAACAUUCUGUGAAAUCCUGACCAGUAGGAAUGCUGGAGGUAUCACUUUGUGUUGAAUGGAAGGAGAAACGAAUUGUUGAAAAGGUCAGUUAAGUGUUUCCUUUGCUUGGCCGGAUGGGUAAGAAAAUAACUGCUUUUGAAGCAGGCUUUUGCCAAAGAAAAAAGAUCAUUAUUAAUGAACAUCACUAUAUUUCAUAUCUACAGUCAAUUCAUAUAAAUUACAGUCAAUUUUCUUUUAAGACAGCUUGGUUUAUUAAAAUUUUUAAAUAAAAAAGUUUUUAAGAAAAAAUUACUUCUGAAGGAUAAUUCAAGGUGGAACUGCAAAUCUGCCUCCUUGUUUUGUUGGGAAUUUUUUUUUUUUUUUUUUUGAGAUGGAGUCUCACUCUAUCACCCAGGUUGGAGUGCAGUGGUGCAAUCUCAACUCACUGCACCCUCCGCCUCCCGGGUUUAAGCAAUCCUCCUGCUUCAGCCUCCCAAGUAGCUGGGAUCACAGGCACACACCACCAUGCGUGGAUAAUUUCUGUAUUUUUAGUAGAGACGGGGUUUUACCAUUUUGGCCAGGCUGGUCUCGAACUCCUGACCUCAGGUGAUCUGCCCAUCUCGGCCUCCCAAAGUGCUGGGAUUACAGCUGUGAGCCACCACACCCGGCCGUUUUGUUGGGAUUUUUUUUUUUAAGAUCAAGACAUAAAUUUAAAUGUUUUAAUAAAUUGUUAAAUUAUCACAUUGAUCUGUUAGCAAAUCCUCUCAGCUCUGCCUUCAAUUAUGUUAAUAGUCUGUCUAGUUUCUUACCACCUCCACUGCUACUAUGCUUACCACAUCCAGCCUGUAUUAUUGCAAUUGCCUCCUAAUUGCUCUCCCUGCUUCUACCUUAUCCCCUACUCCCACAGCUUAUUUUCUGUAACGUAGAUGCCAAAGCAAUCCUGUUAAAAUGUGAGUCAGAUUAUGGCACUGCUCUUAAAACCUUCCAAUGUCUUCUCAUUUCUCUCAGUAAAAGCCAAACUCCUUACAAUGCCUGUAGGCCUUACACGAUCUGUCCUCCCAUAACCUCUGACUUACUCACGUGCUUUUCUCCCACCAAUCCACUCCAACCACAUUGGGUUUUUUUCUGUUCCUGGAACACACACUAAUAGCACUGUUCUUUCCUCUGUCUGAAACACUUUCCUCAGUUAUCCCAAGCCUUCUUUCACGUCCUUCAGGUCCUUACUCAAAUGUCACAUUCAUAGUGUAGACUUUCUGAAAUUCUAAACCCUCCUCAUACAGAUAUGUCUAAAUGUUCUGUUAUUUAUUGACCCACCAGGACCGGGCAGGCAGCAUUGUCUUGAAGGUGCUCAUCUCUUUUAAAGCUAAUGAUAUAGAAAAGGCAGUUCAAUCUCUGGACAAGAAUGGUGUGGAUCUCCUAAUGAAGUAUAUUUAUAAAGGAUUUGAGAGCCCGUCUGACAAUAGCAGUGCUAUGUUACUGCAAUGGCAUGAAAAGGUAAGUUAUGAAUUAUAAAUCUAUAUGACUGGUUCUUUUACAAUAGGGAAUGACAAUGACAACCUCUCUCACCUAAAUAACCAUUUUGAUUUGUUGUACAUUUUUGUUAUUACAAAUAAAAUGCAUGAAAAGGAUA
rnacentral:sRNA from 1 species